rnacentral:rRNA from 1 species
AGUGAACGCUGGCGGUAGGCCUAACACAUGCAAGUCGAACGGCAGCACAGUAAGAGCUUGCUCUUACGGGUGGCGAGUGGCGGACGGGUGAGGAAUACAUCGGAAUCUACUUUUUCGUGGGGGAUCACGUAGGGAAACUUACGCUAAUACCGCAUACGACCUACGGGUGAAAGCAGGGGAUCUUCGGACCUUGCGCGAUUGAAUGAGCCGAUGUCGGAUUAGUUAGUUGGCGGGGUAAAGGCCCACCAAGGCGACGGUCCGUAGCUGGUCUGAGAGGAUGAUCAGCCACACUGGAACUGAGACACGGUCCAGACUCCUACGGGAGGCAGCAGUGGGGAAUAUUGGACAAUGGGCGCAAGCCUGAUCCAGCCAUACCGCGUGGGUGAAGAAGGCCUUCGGGUUGUAAGGCCCUUUUGUUGGGAAAGAAAAGCAGCAGGUUAAUACCCCGCUGUUCUGACGGUACCCAAAGAAUAAGCACCGGCUAACUUCGUG